CUUUCAGUGGAAGCAGUGGUUUGUCAUCAGGGGAAAUAUUUCACUGAGAAAAGGGGAGAGAGAGAAGAGGUGAGGCAGUGACAAGAAGCAGAAAAACUGCAGGUUCCAUCUUUUCUCUUUGCCACCACUGAGCUACAAAAGGGCAUUUCUUGAAGAAUCAGCAGCAGUAGAGUUUAGUUAAUGUGUGCGUUUGACAUUCUUGGAUAAGAGGUAGCAAAGAAGGUGGAAGUAAUUUGGACUGUGAAGAAACAGCUGCAUUUCAGCCCAAAGGUGGCUUCGGGUCACUGCCAAACGUAAAGAUUUCUGCCUUCCUGCGCCCACUGCAGAGGCUGAAUUGACCACUCUGCAGACCGACAAAAACUGGUUGCUUAAUGGAGAUAUUUUUCUCGUAAAGCCUGAGCGAAGCUGUGCUCAAUACGUGUGGGGAUACAAUAGAUUAGAUAGUUUGUAGAAUGCGUUAAUAGAGUUCUCAAAGCACUUCUCUAUCCAUCUCCGUGAAAGGCGUUACAUAAAUGUGAGCUCGUUUGUUAUCAUUAUCUCUCUUUGUCUCUUUGCAGGGUGGGUAAUUUGCUGGGUUAUCGGGCUAUGUGUGUUUAAAAACACAUGAUAGAUGUAACCUCAGCAGACAGUCACUGGUUUUCUCAUUCUUAAGAGCAGAAACGUUUCCUUAACCACUCUGUAGCUGCUAUCAGCAGAUCCUAUCAGCUCUGACUCAGCGACAGAACAACCCCAGUGCACCAGAAAUAGAAGCCGUGAGUUCUGCUGGCUCCUUCUGAGCCUGUUAAAGCACUCCAACCGAACAUCCAUUUGCUGAUACACCUUUCUGCAGGUGCACCUCUCCACAGAGCACAGACCUGACUUGACAUUCCCUUUAACCAGAACGGAACUGCUUAAUUAGAAGUAAUUCAGCAUUUCACAGGAUGUUGCUGGGAAGUUCUCUUACUCUGCCUUCUUCCCGAGUUCGGCAAUUGGAACAGCCUUGUGAAAUACCCGGCACAACAACACACAGAUUGCUUCAGUCAGAACCACAAAGGUUUGGUUUUACGAUGAGCAAAGAGGAGGCAACAGCCAAGAGACCUGGAUCCAACCGAACAAACCCUGAGCGGAGCACGCAGCCCAGGCUGGUCCACGUAGUGCUCCCCAGUAACGUCCUUACCCUUGGCAAAAAGCAAAAACCUCUUCCUACGCAUGAGAGAUGUAAUCAUCCAUGGAAGGAGCACGAUUCUACAGUUCCUUUUUUUUUUACCGUUCCCUCAAAACAAACCACUUGAAACCUUUUCCUUAUUCCCAGGAUAUUUCAAACCCAAGCUCCCAAUACAGAGUGACACAACACUCAGCACUGAUUUUGCAGGUUUCGGUGGGUUUGAUGGCUGCUGUGGCACUGCUGAGAUUCCAGCAGGCUUCUAAGAAAUAAUGUGACUCGACUUAUUAUAAUUAAUGGAAGCAGGAUGAAUAUAUACACGAUCUUCUCAUUUACACAGGGGAACGUCCAUACAGCUGGAAAGCAAAGGCGUCUCUACGUGGUAAAAUAAGCACUACAUAAAUCUAAUGUAUGAAUUUAUAGUACACUAAUGACUUCCCAUUAAACUGCUGAUUGAGCAGUCAGGAUGUGGCAAGCAUGAGAAGCUCACUCCGCUUCCAAGGACCAUGCCAAGAGCUUCUGUCCUUGGAAGCAAUGCAGUGCAGCUAGCGUAGUCUAGGUUUGCAGUGUCACUUAUUUUGCGUGUGCCAUGCAGAAAAGCCCUCCUAAAUAACAGCAAAAGGCAAUCGGACCCACAGACCACAUACUGGCAGCGUUGCUACUGUACUUGAGUCAAAGCAGGGCAGUGCUGAUGUUCUCAAGUUUGGAUGGCAUCCAAUUCUCGAAGCAAAGUGCAAAGCGCUGUGAGAAACGCCAACAGAACCACGCACGCCCCGGGUGCUGAGGAGCUCAGAGGUCUGCAGUCCUUCACCUCCUGAAGAUCACCCACUGUCCCCACUGCCCAUCCCAGUGCUGCCUGUGGCCUCGCUGGGCUCCGGCCUCUCGCUGCAGUGUCAGCCUGGGAAGCUCCAGCUCUGCUCACAGCCGGACGCCUCUGGCUCCGCUUACCGCCUGGCAGCAGCUCCCGGGUCAUUCCAGUUACACCCACUAUCUGCAGCUUCUUAAGCCUUAUAUCUUGGAAGAGGAAUCAAUAGCAUACCCAGCCCUAAUGGCAUCCUUGCCGGCAGAGAACCUUCAAUGUCAUAAGAGCUCCACUCCCCUACUAAAAGCUAUGCUUUAGAGAAGGGCCGUGCCCCACAGCAGGCAAAUGCAAUGACUUCCUACUGCAUUAUGGCAUUUUUACCUAUCCUGCCUUGAAAGCCUUGUUGCAUUUCAAUCCAGGUGUUCCAAGCUAUCCCCAGCAGCAGCACAGAGUGGCUGUGGCACAGGCAGCAGCUGCCCCUCCAGCGCCAGCAGAGCUCUCUGUCAGCUCCUCCCUGCGUGCAGGCAGAGCUCCCUGCUCAGGGCUCACAGGACACCCAUGUGCACAGACCUGCGGACACCCACAAGCCGUCCCCCACCCCAUACGUGCUUGGAACCCCCUCAGAGCCGUCCUGCCAUCUGUCUGUCCUCCCUUCAGGCACGGAGGCAUGCCCAGCCUCCACAGACAUUACCAUAACAGAGCACAGAGCGUGGGAGAAGGAGAGCAAGAGACUGUGCAAAAUAAUAAGUAAUCACAGGAAGAAACUGGGGCACAACAGUGUCUGUGGCUUUUGAUGUUUCCCUCCUGUCCCGCCCUGCCUUCCUCCUGGGGAAAGGGAAUGCUGCAAGGUGGGACCAGGCCCUGGCUGCUUCUGUACGGAGCACCAGCAGGAUUACAGAUAAAUAUUGAAGCUAUCAAAGAAGCUUAAGGGAUUUAGGAACCCACUCCCCAUUAUUAUCCUCUCUGCAGCAGGGGGAAGCGAUCUUGUGCAGAGACCUCGAGCACACACCAGGACUGCGCAGGCUGCUGAAAUGCCCCACGCCUGUUACAAAUGUCCCCUCCUUUGUUGGGCAGGGAAAAAACCAACCGGUGCUGUUUGUUAUAAUAAAUGGAGCCAAGGUUUGUGCCUGGCUCAGUGCAGGGAGGAUGGGGUAGGGGGGGAGGGCAGACCCACGGCGCAGGGAGCUGCAUGCACAGCAGUCGUCUGCCUCCUACCCUGGGAAAUCCCGGACAGAAAUGAGCCCAGGGACCAUCUCGGAGGAAAAGCCAUUGGUCCUUCUGGUGCCUGCAGAGAGGGACAGAAGUUACCGUACAAAUCAAUUCCGAAACGGAGAGGCGGAUGUGGGAUGCUUCACACCUGCCCUCCAUUCAAAGCUUCUGCCGAAGAUUCACAACAGAACUUCAUUAACAAAACAUGACGGCGGGCCCCAUUCCCCCUCCCGGCUCCCAGUUCCUGCUGUAGGACAGCUCAGCUGAUGGUAAAACGAUUCUUGGUGUGUGUGCCAGCACAGGGAGCGCCACCCCGAGCCCCGGCCCCUGCUGCAGCUCUCCUGCAGUCCUGGCUGAUGCAGGAGCAGACCUCGAGCAGCCAGAAUGGUUUCUCUGCCACACUUUGUAGGGAACGCUGCAGUUUUAAACCACAAAUUAAAUUUUUAAUGAAACUUCAUAACGGUUGUACCCAAAUGUAAUGUAAUAUUGAUAGGAGCUGUGCAUCCAGCUAGCAUGAGAUUGCCCUAGAAAGCUUUUUAGGAUGUUAUGCAAUGUAUGGUUAAAUUAAUUAUUUGUAAUGAAAGGACCUGUGCCCCUAUAGCAGCGCUGAUGUGCCGGCACAAGGAGCACACUCCUCGUUCUGGCUGGAUGUAAAUGUCAGGCGUUUCAGGAGGAAACUGACUUCUGAGAUGGGAACGAUGAAAGAGAGGGAAGGAAAAAGGAGGAGAGACCGAAUGUGUGUGAGAGAGACAGAGAGAAAUGGAGAGGGAGAGAUCUGCAAAGAAAGACUGCAGCAAAAUGCAGCAGAUUUCAGAACUCCGGUCCAAAGUGUUGGUCUGUUACAGGAGGGAAUACUCCAUCUUCCAGGCGGUGCAUUUGCACUGACUGCACGCCCCGCUCAGGCUGUCCUAAUGAGAUCUGUAAAUUUUUGAAGGCAUUAAAAAUACAUAUUCUGCAUAUGCACAGCUCUGCAGCCUUCAGCGGGGCGGUGUGCGCUCACCUCCCGGCCCUCACUGUGCUGCACAGGGCAUGGGGCUCACCCCACACGUGGCACCACACAGAGCCGGGUGCUGUCCUUGCUGCGUUCCCAGCACCCAUCCUGGUGCCACAUCCGGGCACACGGGGAGCGGGGCUGCAGCAAUGAGCCCCGGGGACGUCGGCUCUGCCAUCCCCCAGAGGCACCAACUGCACUUCUCGCUUUGCCCAUUACCGUUUCCCAUCGCAAAGCUGUCUCCAUCCCAUAAUGGAUCAUAUUGCACAGAGGAGACUUAGCUGUGGAAUCAGCAUUCCCCCCAAGGAGGAUGGUUCGUGUGCAGCCGCUUCCACAAACAGGAGAGAGAGCUUCCACUCCCUGCUCUGCGUCCGGCCCCUGGGAUCACAGACAUCCACUUCCAAAGUGCCCUUUGCACAUCAGUGGCAAAGUGGGGCUGGGGCUGAACACCUCUGAGCAGCAGCUCUGCGCUGGAUGCUGGCCCAAGAGGACUGCUGGCCCCAGGGGGGGCACCGCAGGCUGUCCAAAAUCCUCCGAAGCACAGACGCAAAUGUUCCUGCUGGCUCCUGCUCAGCACCACACCACCUCCGAGCGGCCCGGAUAGCUGCGCUCAGCUCUUUCCAUCUACAGAGCGAUAAAUCAGCCACGGGGAAUGCCUGGGGAGAGGCGAGAGAAGAGUUAAAAAUAAUAGGGGCUCCAUUAUUCCAUUAUGUCUCUCCGGCUCCUAAAUCUGCAAAAGCAAUAACGGAUCUCACUGCAUGAUUCAGUGGUUCUGGGAAAGCUGAAUUCUCGAUCAUAUUUUCUCGUUCUUUCUUCACACGCGGAGACACGGGGGGUUACUGUGCGGAUCUGCUGGAGCGCAGCUCUGUUGUUUUUUCCUAUCCAGGUAUUUAUACGGUCUCCAUCACCAUAGUAUCAGAGUGUUUAUUUUACUGCACCUGUCACCUUGGUCUCCUCUCAGCAUAAUGUACUGUGGAUGACAAAAGCUCCCUAGUUAAAUUGGUUCAGUGACACGAACAGCUUUGUCAAUACCACGCAGAUGUUCACAGAGGUGGGCAACGAUUCCGCCGCCUCCCAGACCCGUUUUACACCCGUGGAACUGUACUGCCUGCAGUAACAUUGUCUUCUGUUUGCAUUGCCGCCUGUGGAGCAAGAAUUGGACCUGCAGUCUUUUCAGCCUUUUCCACAGCAUCCCUUUAUCCAAGGGAAAGGCACUAACCAGCAUUGGAAGGGAGAGGCCUGCCCAGCGUCCACCCCUGCCCAGCAUCCCUGUGCCCUCCCCUCACACCCACCCCUCUGCUCCAGUCUGGCUGCAUCCAAACACGGCACAGCACAAAGAGCAGAGGAGAGGAGAGCAAAGCACACAGCCCCGGGGCUGGGCUCCUCCGGGCUCCGCAGCUCCGAGCUGAGGGCAGGGACAGCACUGGCAGCGGCUCUGGGAAGGAUCCUGGUGAGCAGCCCCUGUGACCCCGAGGUCACUGUGCGUGUUGGUGGCUCUGGUGGCACCGAGCAGUGACAGCACUUCGGAGCACUGCAGAACGGCUGAGCGCUGGCACCAUCCUGGGCUCCACGGCCACACGUGUCCCGGUGCUGCCAGCAGGAAGCACUCUGUGUCACAGAACUCGGGGGCAGGAUAACUUGGCAUUAUGUAAAUACUCCAGCCAUAUGGGCUGCUGCAGUGCAGCUUUGGAGGGGCAAGCGCUGAACCGAGCCGAAAGGACCGAAUUCACGCACGGUGCGAUCGGGAACCGCUCCUCAGUCGCCCCGCGGCCCCGCGCGGCCCCGCAAAAAGCCAACGGACGGCGCUGGGGAACGGCGCGGGGAGCGGCA
ensembl:lncRNA